rnacentral:rRNA from 1 species
AGAGUUUGAUCCUGGCUCAGAUUGAACGCUGGCGGCAUGCUUUACACAUACAAGUCGAACGGCAGCACGGGGGGGUAACCCUCUGGUGGCGAGUGGCGAACGGGUGAGUAAUGCAUCGGAACGCGUCCUGUAAUGGGGGAUAACCUGGCGAAAGUCAGGCUAAUACCGCAUACGUCCUGAGGGAGAAAGCGGGGGAUUGGCAACGACCUCGUGUUAUAGGAGCGGCCGAUGUCGGAUUAGCUAGUUGGUGGGGUAAAGGCCUACCAAGGCGACGAUCCGUAGCGGGUCUGAGAGGACGGCCCGCCACACUGGGACUGAGACACGGCCCAGACUCCUACGGGAGGCAGCAGUGGGGAAUUUUGGACAAUGGGGGCAACCCUGAUCCAGCCAUGCCGCGUGAGUGAAGAAGGCCUUCGGGUUGUAAAGCUCUUUCGGCCGGGAAGAAAUCGCGCCAGCUAAUACCUGGUGUGGAUGACGGUACCGGAAGAAGAAGCACCGGC